GCGGGAGUAGCUCAGAUGGCCAGAGCGUCACUCUUCCAAAGUGAACGUCGCGGGUUCGAAUCCCGUCUCCCGCU
rnacentral:tRNA from 1 species